rnacentral:rRNA from 1 species
GCUACGGGGGGCAGCAGUGGGGAAUAUUGCACAAUGGGCGCAAGCCUGAUGCAGCCAUGCCGCGUGUGUGAAGAAGGCCUUCGGGUUGUAAAGCACUUUCAGCGGGGAGGAAGGCGUUAAGGUUAAUAACCUUGGCGAUUGACGUUACCCGCAGAAGAAGCACCGGCUAACUCCGUGCCAGCAGCCGCGGUAAUACGGAGGGUGCAAGCGUUAAUCGGAAUUACUGGGCGUAAAGCGCACGCAGGCGGUCUGUCAAGUCGGAUGUGAAGUCCCCGGGCUCAACCUGGGAACUGCAUUCGAAACUGGCAGGCUAGAGUCUUGUAGAGGGGGGUAGAAUUCCAGGUGUAGCGGUGAAAUGCGUAGAGAUCUGGAGGAAUACCGGUGGCGAAGGCGGCCCCCUGGACAAAGACUGACGCUCAGGUGCGAAAGCGUGGGGAGCAAACAGGAUUAGAUACCCGUGUAGUC